AAAAGGCUUGCCAGUUUCGCUUCGACUGCUGCGUAGUGUGGACGGAGAAUUUAUUCGUAUCGAAUUUCGAAUAUAAUUUAAAAUACAUAUAUUUCAUCAAUUUAUAUGCGUUUUAUUUUUAAUUUUUUAUUUAUACUAUAUAUAUUUAUUCGCGAGUGUAACAAUUUUGCAUUCUAUUUAUGAGCGUUAAUAUAUUUCAUCCCUUUCAUGAAUGAAUAGGAAGUUGUUACAAAACAAGAUAAGUAGCUGAUUAUUGAGACUAUUGAGACUAUUUUAUGGAGAAAAAAUUUCAAUAUGGAUACCAUAAUGAUAUUCUACAUUUUAUAAAGAAGAGGUGGCCGCCAUUAGUCCGAGUUUUCCACUAGGCAGGGAACUAGGCAGCUUCGUUUCUUCGCCGGGAUAAUUAUUGAAUGUAGCGUGGAGAAGACUUUGGAGAAGAGAGAGAGAGAGAGAGAGAGAGGACCUCAUAACUUAUAUCUCUAAUGAGCUUACGCUGCUUGCGAUGUUUUAAUGAAUACUAAUGAACUCGAAGAUUUUUCUCAUCCCGAAGGGAAAAGUGCGGAUCCGUCCCAAGUUUUUUAACCGAGAAUAAUUGGUCCUAUUCUUGGCCGAAAGAUUUAUAUAUGAUGGAAGAAAGAAGAGAGCGAGCAAUAAGCAUUUUUUACAAUUUAUAAUCGUCCUUUCGUUACGCGAUAUCGAUCAUGUUGUCCUUUUCCUUAAUCUUUGUCGAGUCGAUCAAAAGUGAAAAGAAUGCAAGAUUUCAAAUAAAAUUUUAAUCGAUUCGAAUUUUUCAUUUCAGUCCAGCAAGAAUUAGGAGAAAAGGAACUGUAAAAAAAACAACAAUAAAGAAACAAAAGUCAAAAAGAAGGAAAGAAGGAAAUAUAACUAACCAACUAAAUACCUAGAAUAACAGGUAACUAGAAAAGGAACUAGGACAAAAAUUUCCACUAUGAGACUAGGGAAAAAAAGGAAGAAAGUGAAAGAAUCGACAAUUAAAUAUUCUCGUUUGCUGGAAAAAGCGUACGAUAUCACUUGGAUAUCGAUGUGACGGAUAUUUAUCACUAAUAUUUCGCCAAUGACUCGUCAAACGUUAUUUCGAUCCUCCACUCCAUUUUUCUCCCUAUCGUUUUCACCUCUUUUCACCAAAUAUACCGCGACAAUAGAGAUCUAGUUUCUCUCCCUCCCUCUCUACGUUUUUCCUUUUUUUCCUUUUUUUUUUUUUUCAAAGCAACGCGUCAAUCGAGGGAACGUCGACGAUCGAACGAUUUAUAUCGACGUUAUAUCGAUUUUUCUAGGAACGUUAUUUCUGUUUUUUCCAUGCAACAUCCUGUAUUCUUUGUAUUCUCAAUUAGCGCGACGCUUAACGAGCCUCGGCUCGUUAGCCGGCCGAUUCGUUGAUAAAAUACACGUUACAAUUCAACCGGCUAGACGUCCGUUUUAAUUACUUCUUCUCAUAAAUCACCUGUAUUUUUCGAGCUGUCAAGUAAGAGUUGUUUAAACGAUGGAAUUACUCCCCGUGGAAUUACUUUGUACGUUUCUUUUUUUUUUUUUUGUUCGUAUCGGUAUGUAAAAACGUAUAGAAUAUUAUGGUAAUUAACACGUUGAUUCUCGCAUAUCUCCCCAAUGCAAUUUGAAGUAAAUGGCAAUUCUUUUCUUUUUUCGUUUCUUCACUCCUGUCCAAGAAUCUUAAUUAAUUAUUACGCAACACGAUGCAAUUUUAUUAUCAACGAAAAUUCAUCUAAUUUAACUUUGCCUAUCCUAGACGAAAAAAAAAGAAAGGAAAGUUCAAGUAAUCGAAUAUCAAGAAUUUUAAGUGAAUCGUGCAACGAUAAUUAUUAUAAUUAUAUAUAUUAUUAUUACAAGUCGAAGUUUAAGUGAACCGUGUAACAAUAAUUAUUAUAAUUAUAUAUAUUAUUAUUACAAGUCGACAAGAAUGAAAGAAUCACCAGCUCGACGUUUAAACGUACCGGAACGCGUCCAGAAACUCCAUCGGAUCCAUGAUCCAGCCAAAUCCAGCCAUCGAGAUCCUCUCACACCUCCUUCCACUCCACUCUUUUCAAAGAUGCUAUCUCUCACCGAGCGAAACCCUUUCACUUUCUAACUAAAUUUCACCUCUCACUCGCGUGCUCUCAACACUUCUUUGACUCCUUCGUAAAAGAACAUCCGAUCUGAGGAAAGAAGGGAAAAAA